rnacentral:rRNA from 1 species
UGGAGGGCAAGUCUGGUGCCAGCAGCCGCGGUAAUUCCAGCUCCAAUAGCGUAUAUUAAAGUUGUUGCAGUUAAAAAGCUCGUAGUUGAAUUUCGGGAUUAGUACGUUGGUCGUGCCUUCGGUAUGUACUGG